CGAAAGACGAGGUUGCCGGCU
rnacentral:miRNA from 1 species